CAGCCGCCACGGUAAUACGUAGGGUGCAAGCGUUAAUCGGAAUUACUGGGCGUAAAGCGUGCGCAGGCGGUUUGUUAAGACAGAUGUGAAAUCCCCGGGCUCAACCUGGGAACUGCAUUUGUGACUGGCAAGCUAGAGUGUGGCAGAGGGGGGUGGAAUUCCGCGUGUAGCAGUGAAAUGCGUAGAUAUGCGGAGGAACACCGAUGGCGAAGGCAGCCCCCUGGGCCAACACUGACGCUCAUGCACGAAAGCGUGGGGAGCAAACAGGAUUAGAUACCCCCGUAGUCCCUGUCUCUUAUAC
rnacentral:rRNA from 1 species